GCAGCCGCGGUAAUUCCAGCUCCAAUAGCGUAUAUUAAAGUUGUUGCAGUUAAAAAGCUCGUAGUUGAAUUUUGGGUCUGGCCGGGCAGUCCGCUUUCUGGGUGAGUACUGAUACGAUGUCGGACCUAUCCUUCUGGUGAAUCGGCAUGUCCUUUACUGGGUGUGUCGGGGAACCAGGACCAUUACCUUGAAAAAAUUAGAGUGUUCAAAGCAGGCGCAUGCUCGAAUACAUUAGCAUGGAAUAAUAAAAUAGGACGCGUGGUGCUAUUUUGUUGGUUUCUAGAACCACCGUAAUGAUUAAUAGGGAUAGUUGGGGGCAUUAGUAUUCAAUUGUCAGAGGUGAAAUUCUUGGAUUUAUUGAAGACUAACUUCUGCGAAAGCAUUUGCCAAGGAUGUUUUCAUUAAUCAAGAACGAAAGUUAGGGGAUCGAAGACGAUCAGAUACCGUCGUAGUCUUAACCAUAAACUAUGCCGACUAGGAAUCGGGUGAGUUCAUUUUUACGUCUCGCUCGGCGCCUUAUGGG
rnacentral:rRNA from 1 species